rnacentral:rRNA from 1 species
UACGAAGGGGGCUAGCGUUGCUCGGAAUCACUGGGCUUAAAGCGUGUGUAGGCGGGUCGUUAAGUGCCUUGUGAAAUCCCAUGGCUCAACCAUGGAACUGCUGGGCAUACUGGCGAUCUUGUGCCACCUAGGGGCGAGCGGAACAGAUGGUGGAGCGGUGAAAUGCGUAGAUAUCGUAAGGAAGGCCGGUGGCGAAAGCGAGCCUCUGGACAGUUACUGACGCUGAUGCACGAAGGCCAGGGGAGCAAACGGG